UACAGAGGUCCCAAGCGUUGUUCGGAUUCACUGGGCGUAAAGGGUGCGUAGGCGGCCAGGUAAGUCUGCUGUGAAAUCCCGCAGCUCAACUGCGGAACUGCAUUGGAUACUAUCUGGCUAGAGGAAUGGAGGGGAGACUGGAAUUCUCGGUGUAGCAGUGAAAUGCGUAGAUAUCAGGAGGAACACCAAUGGCGAAGGCAGCUCGCUGGAACGGUACUGACGCUGAGGCGCGAAAGCGUGGGGAGCGAACAGG
rnacentral:rRNA from 1 species